GGAGUGAGCAACUACAUUUCCCAAAAUAUGGUAACCUUCGAGCAAUUUAGGGUUUCCAAUUGGUGAGCCGUGGAACCGAGUGCCUGCAUUGUUGAUUCCAGAGGGUUUUACGUGGUUGAGGGGAAGACACUCGAUCGAGAUUUGCACAGGUAAUACUCACUUUAGUCUUUGAUUAUUUAGGGUUUCCAAUUGGUGAGCCGUGGAACCGAGUGCCUGCAUUGUUGAUUCCAGAGGGUUUUACGUGGUUGAGGGGAAGACACUCGAUCGAGAUUUGCACAGGUAAUACUCACUUUAGUCUUUGAUUAUUUAGGGUUUCCAAUUGGUGAGCCGUGGAACCGAGUGCCUGCAUUGUUGAUUCCAGAGGGUUUUACGUGGUUGAGGGGAAGACACUCGAUCGAGAUUUGCACAGGUAAUACUCACUUUAGUCUUUGAUUUACCUAGGCUUCAAUUUGAGAGCCAUAAUGAAGAUUUUUUGUUGCUCCAAAAUGCAGUUUACAUGUUUGUAUUGUCCUUGUAGUAUAGCGAUCAUUUCUUUUGGCUUGAUGAUUUUAUUUGUACGUAUUCUUUGAUUGGCCCAGAAAUAGAGUAGAUCGACCAUAAUCGAAGCAUAUAGAAAAACAUCUACUUUUUGUUGGAGUAACAUAUAAUGUUGCCACUGUUUGAUUGUGGCAUGGCGUAUGAGACCUGGUCUUAGCCCUCACUGUGAUACUAACCAAAGGAUUUGGUUAGAUGAUAGUGGAGAAAAAGGUGAUGUAGGACUCCUCUCCAGCACUAUAUAACCUGCAACGGUUAAGAAAAGGGGAUUAGGUGUAGAAGUCAUAUUGGAGUAUUAUCUAUACCACAUGAAUUUAUGCCGAGGUAGGAUAUUUAAUUCUAUUAGAAGCUUCCAGUUUAUAUGAUUUGCUCUGUGUCUGAGGUUUGUGAAUGUUUUACGUAGGAGUUAGUAGGCUGUUAUAAGGUCAACUAUUUAUUUUCUUGUGUGUGCCGAGAGCCCAUUAAGUUUGGGAAGGGUGUGAAGUGUUGAUGGGAGUUGACAUUAUUGAUUAGACUAUGUGAACAGGGUCUAGGGAGAUGACAUGGGAGUAAUCCCAUUGGUGGGUAGUAGGGUUUACUGUUGGACAUUUGUGAGCUGAGAAGUGAUUGGAGGGGGGUUAAAAUGAAUUUUUAAGGAAGGGAUCCAAGGGUCCGACUGAGUCUGGGUUAAUUUCGUUGUAGCAAACGAUAUGUAAUAUAUGUUUUGUUUUGAGAAUACCAUUCCAUAGAUAAGAAUCUUUUGUUGCUAGGACUAUGAACUUUCAAUACCAUUCAUAAUGGAUUAAUCUAUUUGAAUUAAUGAUAUCCAAAUCAUAUUAGUUCUCUGGUUACUGGAUAUUUUAUCAUACUGUAUUUGUUACAAAAAGCCGUCCACAUAAACAUACAAACUCUAGUAAUUGAGGAUCAGUAAGAAUUAUUGGUGGUAGUGAAUUUAGUGGAAAAAGAGCGAGAAUGAGAUGGAAUAGAUGGAGUAGAAUUUUGAUCUCAGUCAGAACAGAAGGAAGAGAAGUUAUGGAUGUUGAAGAAGAAAAAAGUUGGCGAUCUAUGGCUACAAAUGGCAACAAAGCGUACUUUUAUUUUUUAAAUUGUGUCGAGUUUGCAGGUUAUUUGACUUGCAUAUGACCUGCUCAUUAAUAAAAAUUUUAUACUCUUUACAUAUGGUUACAUUUAUAUAUUCUUUAUAUGUUUAUAUUAAUAAAAAAGUUAUAUUAAUAUAUUUAUGUUUGUCUUCAUAAAAAUGAAAUAUGCAUAAUGAGUCGGGCUUCGCCAGAUUUUAAUAAACCAAACCCGAACAUUCCUGCUCUGGUAUAAUUUUUCUGCCAACACGAACCUGAUUCAACUUGAACUUGCUGUUUGUUAAAAAAAAAACUGCUACAGGUCAGGUUCAGGCAGAUUGAUUUAUGCAAGUUUGGGAAAAAGAAAUUCAUCCCUAUCUGUGACUCUAAUACCAUGUCAAGUAAACAGAUAAUAGGUGAAGAGUUGUUAUUAGUAUUGUACUUCCAUCAAGUAUAUGUAGGUAUAUGAGAUGAUAUAAGUACAUGAAGCAUUUGAAAAUACAAUAAAUGUAAGAUUACUCCAAAAGAGAUAGGUACAAUAAAUGAAGUAUUUGAUAAAAUACAAUAAAUGAAAAAUACAAUAAAUAACGUUUGUCACUGAAUUAACUCAUAAAUAAUUCAUGCAAUGCUUACUCUAAAAGAGAUCAAAAAAGUUACUUAAGCGAUAUGUGCACUUAACUAGGUACAUAUAAAAUAUAUAUAUAUAUUUAUUUUGAAGAAGAAGAGAGCACAAUUUAUUUUGUUAUAUAUGGUGAUGGGAGCUAAAUUAAUUAGUUUAGUCUCCAUUGCUUGGCCACACAAGAUAGUGAUUCAUAAGAAGACCCCCCAUAAUCUAAUGAUUUUAAAGCGCUAUCUUUUAGUUCCUUAACUCUGCACCUAAUAGCCUUUCCUUCCUCACCCUCCAUUAGUACUCUCACCACUCUCUCUAUCUCUUCACGUCUAACCACUGUCUUUCCUCUCUCCACCUCGGGCCUGAUUGCUAGCUUUACCUCCUCUGUCAGAAAUGUUGCAUUCGUUCUCUGUUCUGCAUAAAGGGGCCAAGUGAUCAUUGGUACGCCAUGAGUUAUGCUUUCAAGUGAUGAAUUCCAUCCGCAGUGAGAUAGGAAACCGCCUGUUGAUGGAUGGCGGAGUACUGUGGUUUGUGGAGCCCAUGAUGGAAUCACCAGACCCAAUGCGUUAGUCCUCUCAAGGAAUC
rnacentral:lncRNA from 1 species